rnacentral:rRNA from 1 species
CACGUAGGCACCAAGCGUUAUCCGGAUUUAUUGGGCGUAAAGAGCGCGUAGGCGGUCCGAUAAGUCGGCUGUGAAAGUCAGGGGCUCAACCCUUGAAAGCCGGCCGAUACUGUCGGACUAGAGUCCGGAAGAGGCAAGUGGAAUUCCCGGUGUAGCGGUGAAAUGCGCAGAUAUCGGGAGGAACACCAAUGGCGAAGGCAGCUUGCUGGGACGGUACUGACGCUGAGGCGCGAAAGCGUGGGGAGCAAACAGG